GUAAGCCAGCAUAUCAGUGACCACGUGCAAGAGCUUGUAGCUGCCCUCAUUAACCUUUAGAGGAUAAAGAAAAUAAAAUAGCCCUUCUUCACUUUCCCCUUUCAAAUCUCACAUGACUUGGAACAUUAACUUGUGGCCAACCUUAACCUGAAAUUGUAUAGCCAAGGGGACUCUAAGAUUUGCAGUUCCAGCUUAGCUAAGUUGACAAAGUACAAAAACCAUCAUAUUGUCAAUUUCUCUUAAUACACAUCAGGAAACUGAACAGAGCUGGUGAGUACCUUAGGCAAGGUCACACAGCAAAUUUUUGGGAGAAGAGAGAGAGAAAGACCUAGGCUUAGGCUACUCAGCUUCUGAUAGUCAAGCCUCCUGGUUGCCACAAAGAACUUAAGAAGGUGUCCCUCUGAAUGUUUCUUAAACCUACAGAGGGAAAGCCCAAGGAGAUGAUGGGUCUGUUUCAAUAAUACAUUCACUGAGGGACUGCUAGGUGCCAGUUAGUCUGUCGUCAGGCAGGUAGGACUCCCUUCUUUGCUUACAGAGAAGAAAACUGCAUUGGUAAGUACAAUAAAAGGCCAAAGAGAUACAUGCUUCAAGGGAGAGACAAUGGUAGUGUUUUAGGGUGGAGCUUGUUAAAAGAUAGGUUAUCAGACCAUGUCAAGUGGCUUUUGCCUAAUACUCAAAGGUCAUCAAUCUAGAUCCUAUUUCUCUACCCUCUUAUCCCUUGCUACUCCGCCGAAAUGAAGUACGAUAUAUGGGACAAUUUACUUUGAAGCCUCUUGCUACUGUGAUAACAUGGAUACUGUUGUUUUCUCCAACAUCCAUCUGAGUAAAUCAGGCUAAGCAUUACCUCCUUGCCACAGUGGUUGCUUCAAGUUACCCAGACCUAAGCCAGGUACUAGAGUCCAUUUGGUUGCUGGUGUUGAGAUGAUCACUUAAAAAAUUGUCUAACUCUUUGAGACCAGCCUGGCCAACAUGGUGAAACCCUGUCUCUACUAAAAAUACAAAAAUUAGCUGGGUGUGGUGGUGCACACCUGUAAUUCCAUCUACUCGGGAGGCUGAGGCAGGAGAAUUGCUUGAACCUAGGAGUCGGAGGUUGCCAGAUAUUUACUCAAUGGUUGGAGGAAGUGCAUUUCCUCUUCCACUAGAUACUGAAAAGGAAUUAUCACACUGAUUGUGCUAUCCGCAGCUGACAAACACAGAAGGAACCAGUUGUAGCCUAGAGUCAACAUUAUGGAUGGCAGAAUGAAAGAAACAUCAUUGGGCCAUUGAAUCAACCAUCUCGGAAGCCUGCUUGAACUCUAGGCUUUCCAGUUAACUGAGUCAUUGUGUUAUCCUGUGUUUGAAAUAGUUCAAGUUGGACUUUUCCAUUACCUCUUAUAGAAAACGUCUGCAUUAAUACACGUGCCUUUGAAUAUGCUGAGGAUAUUUUUCCUCUGCUAAAAUAACAGUUCUUCUUACUUUACCUAAAGUCUUCUACUUUUCUCUCAAGAACUUGUUCAUUGUCUCAUCCAUCCCAAAGCCUUUGCUGAUCUAUUUCCAGAGCCUCUAUUCCCACUUAGGUUCUGAUGUUCUUUCAACUCUUGUCUGUUUUUCCCAGAGGUGCCAAAGACCACAGGGCUUGGUUUUAUGUUGUGUCUCUAUGGCUUUUGACUUUUGGUCUUUCAUUGACUCUGGCUUCACUGCUGCCUUUCUGAGUCUUCCCAAUUAAGAAAACUUAGAGGAGAAUGCCCACACUCAAAGCACCCAGGAUUGCCAAGAGAGAACCUUAAAUAGAAGAGAAGGUACUGGAGUCCAUUUGGUUGCUGGUGUUGAGAUGACCAAUUAAAAAGUUAUCUAACUCUCUGAGACCAGCCUGGCCAACAUGAUGAAACCCUGUCUCUACUAAAAAUACAAAAAUUAGCCAGGUGUGGUAGCACACGCCUAUAAUCCCAACUACUUGGGAGGCUGAGGCAGGAGAAUCCACUUGAACCCAGGAGUCAGAGGUUGCAGUGAGCCAAGAUCAUGCCAUUGCACUCCAGCCUAGGCAACAAGAGCAAAACUCCUUCUCAAAAAAAAAAAAAAAAAAUUGUCUAACUCUUUGUAUGGAAAGUUUGGAAUAAUCAGGGACUCCUAUCAAGACCUUUAGCUUCCACCAUGCAAACAUCAUAUAGGAUGAAUCACCUUCCGGAUCUUCCAACCAGGGUCUUUGUUCGGCUUGAACAACUAAAAUUAGCAGUUUAUUCACGGUCCAUAAUGGCUGGGGAAUUAUUUCAUACAUAUGGGACAAAGGAGAGGGAUCCAAAGAGGGCCCUCUUCCCUAAGUCUCAUUCAUGAGAUUCUUCUCAUUGAAGAGGCACUCUCAAGCAUCCAAUUUGCUGCAAUUAUAGCAAUCAAAAAAGCAUUCAGUCUCCUUCCGCACCUGACAAGCCAGCUCAUGCAUUCUCACCAACAGUGGUGGGGUGGAUGCUAUUGCAGCUCCCAUCCCCCUGAUUCCAGCUACAGCCACUAAUACCACCCUUAUCCCCACACCCAGAGCUAGAGGUGGUUCACAGUCCAAGGAACUCCGUCAUGUUAACAUCGAUGGUAGACCUGUAGCUGCCCAGAUUCACAUGGGCUUACUGGUUCUCUAGAAAGAGACUGGUUUGCCUUUAGUAUUGGCUUAUAAAUAUCUCUAUCCCCAUGGCCUGAAAGAGAACUGAUGAUAGAUAAACUUCUCCAUUAUGUAAGUUUCUAAGGGCUGAUAAAUAAGCUCCUGCCAUGAUAACAGGUGCAGGUGUAGCGCCAUGGAGAAGCCAGGGCCUGUCUGAUUGCUGCAUUGUGCCAGCAUUCAUGUUACUUGAAUGGGUGCUUUGUGAGAAUACAGUCUCUGCAGAUUGCAGGGACCGGCUGCUGCUGGUGAAAGGGUGGGGGUCUGUUGAUGAAAGUCCCAUUAACAACACACAAAUAACUCCCAGCUUCCUCUUCUCAGUUGCCUCUUUGUUCUAGGCCAAUGGCUCUCAGGAGAGCUGAAAAUGUUAUUUAAUUAUUUCUAACCCCCAUACUGCUGCUACUAGGACUCCUUCUGGAAUAUCCAUUCCCAGCAAGGCAUCUGUAUUCAUUCUCAUGAGCCACUCCAGGCUUGCCAAUGGAUGAAAGAAGUCUGCAACCACUGUAAACAAUCAGGCUGGUGUUGAGUCACUUAUGUGGACCACCACUGUGCCACUCCUUCUGACCACUCCAGCUGCUCCACCUCUGACAGGCUUCCAUCUACCUUGGAGGCCAGCUGACCACAGUACUUAGAUCAUUACUUGAUCUCUCAAUCCCCUCUGAGAGUCUUUGGGAAACAACAUGCGAAUGUUUAUCAUUGUUAAGUCUGGUCACUGAGCCUCAUGGAAAAUUCUCCCCUCUUUUCUCAAUUUUCUCAUUUAUAAAAUGGGAAUAAUGAGAAUACUCAGACCUUCUUCAAGAGGUUAUUUUGAGUCCCAAGUGAGAUAAUACCUGCAGAAUACUGAAUAUUCAAUUAAGGAGGUGCUCAGUAAGAGCACUACUAUUUCAUUACUGUUUCUCUCAUGUCAAUUAUUAGGGUAUUUUAAAAUAUCUUUCUCCAGAAUAUCUUUCUAUCUCCCAAUAUGACGAUAAGUUCUCCUAGAGCAGGGCACUUCUAAGUUUUCUGAUGCGUCCACACAAUUUAUCAGGCAGCUGGAACAUGGAAUGAACACUUGCAUGGCAGCCAGGAGCCUCAAGCUGGAGUCCCAGCACCACCUGUGAUUACCUCAUUCCUCUGUCUGGCUGUCUUUCAUUAGGUCUUCUAUUAUCUCCUCUGUGCCCUCACUCUCCCUUCCCUUCUUAAAUCCCCAUCCUUCUACCUUGGCCUCACCUACUGAAAUCUCACUCCACCUUCCAGUUCAAACCAAAUUCCCCACCUUCUGGGAAUCCCUUCCUCAGUAGCUGCAGACUACACUGGCCUGUCUUUUCCCAGACUUCUCAUUCCUUCAUGUUAGCACCACAAUGCUUAGCAACUAGUGGCUUUUUCAAUAAGAAAGAUGUAGUCUUAUUUAUCUCUUUGCACAACUCCCUUCUCUAUUGUGUUUUCCACAUUUACAUACCACUUUGGGGCAGAAAUUGGCCCAGUGGCCAAAUCUGGCCCACUUUCUUUUUGUAUGGUCUAAAGCUAAGAAUGUUUUUGUAUUUUAAAUAGUCAAAAAAAGAUCAAAAGAAGAAAAAUGUUUCAUGAAGUGUAAAAAUUACCUAAAAUUUAAAUUUUGGCAUCUACAAAUAAAGUUUUAUUGGAACGUAGCCACACUCAUUUGUGAAGCAGGUUCACUGUGCACUGGUUACCAACUUGUCUGAGUCUGGUAAGGCAGAAGAUCCUUAAACAUAACAAAUUACAUGAAACAAAUUUAUUAUUUACAGAUAAACAGCAAGGGAUAACAGAAGUGUAGGAUUGAUUGUGAGCUUCUCCCCCCAAACUCAGAAAAACUGCCAGGCCUAUGGUAACAUCUCCGUUUUCAGAAGCUCAGAAAAGUAAGCUGCUUGCUCAAGAAUGGACGGCUUCAAGGUGGCAGAGCUGGAAGUUUCUAACUCACUCACCUCAUACUCAGACCUGCACUGUUUUUCAAGACAGUCAAUAUUUCAGGCCAUCUACUGAUUGGAUGAGGCCCACCAGCAUUCUGAAAGACAAGGAAUCUGAGACCUGGCUGGGAGAAGAGGACUUGCCUAAAGUUAUCCCACACAGCAAAUUAGUUGGAAAACCAGGAUAGUUGAGUAAAUAUCCUGGAGCCCAGCCAAGUAAUGAAGCCAGAAUUCAGAAAGCUGUUUUGGCUAGAUCUUGGAUUUUUACAAUAAAGGGUCUGUAAGGGAUAUUUGUGAAAAAUGUUGACACUUGACGGCUGUCCUGAUUCAUUCAGCUACCUAGGUUAUCUCUGCCUCUCUUUGACUUGUGUUUUGUCUUUUAAGAUGGCAGUCUUGCUCUUUUGCCUGGGCUGGUCUUGAACUCCUGGGCUCAAGCAGUUUUCCUGCUUUAGCCUCCUGAGUAGCUGGGGCUACAGGAGGACAUCACUGUGCCCAGCUCUCUCCGUAUCUUUGACUAGGUUAUUUUACAACCCCAUACGAUAGAAAUGAAGUUAUAGAAAACUGAUAGGAAUACAAAUAAUUAUUAUCCAUGGAAAUGCAAAUUGGAUCUAAUGGAAUGAAACUGAUUUUUUUUCCAGCAGAUAGUGACCACCUUUGUAUCCUUUUGUAAAUUCAUUUCAGCAUUCCAUAUUUGACUAAAAAUGUGUGACACUCCCAAUUUGCUUUUGAAUUCAUUGUAAUAUCUACCAAUUCCCUCAUUAAUUAAUGAGUUAAAUAAAGCCUUUGGCAUGUAUUUAUUUUGUAUCUAUAGGAGAGUCAUGAGUAUAUCUUCUUUUAAAAGGUAUUCUUCAGUAGGUCUUAGGGUGCACAAUACUUACAUCUUAUUUUCUCAUUCUACACUGUUCCCACACCUCACCCAGAAUAAAUGUAAUCUCCUGUGAGCUUCUGAACAUCAUGAAGAAUAACAGCUCAUUUUGUAAAGUCAUUUAGUAUUCG
rnacentral:lncRNA from 10 species